rnacentral:rRNA from 1 species
AUUGAACGCUGGCGGCAGGCCUAACACAUGCAAGUCGAGCGGUAGAGAGGUGCUUGCAUCUCUUGAGAGCGGCGGACGGGUGAGUAAUGCCUAGGAAUCUGCCUAGUGGUGGGGGAUAACGUUCGGAAACGGACGCUAAUACCGCAUACGUCCUACGGGAGAAAGCGGGGGAUCUUCGGACCUCGCGCCAUUAGAUGAGCCUAGGUCGGAUUAGCUAGUUGGUGAGGUAAUGGCUCACCCAAGGCGACGAUCCGUAACUGGUCUGAGAGGAUGAUCAGUCACACUGGAACUGAGACACGGUCCAGACUCCUACGGGAGGCAGCAGUGGGGGAAUAUUGGACAAUGGGCGCAAGCCUGAUCCAGCCAUGCCGCGUGUGUGAAGAAGGCCU